GCGUCGUUGGCUCAGUGGUUAGAGCACGCGCCGAGAUCUCGGGGACGUAGGGUCGAAUCCUCCUCGUCGCU
rnacentral:tRNA from 1 species